UACGUAGGGGGCAAGCGUUGUCCGGAUUUAUUGGGCGUAAAGAGCUCGUAGGCGGUCUGUCGCGUCUGCUGUGAAAACUCGGGGCUUAACCCCGGGCCUGCAGUGGGUACGGGCAGACUAGAGUGCGGUAGGGGAGACUGGAAUUCCGUGGUGUAGCGGUGAAAUGCGCAGAUAUCAGGAGGAACACCGGUGGGCGAAGGCGGGUCUCUGGGCCGUAACUGACGCUGGAGGAGCGAAAAGCGUCGGGGAGCGAACAGG
rnacentral:rRNA from 1 species